UAGGGAAUCUUCCACAAUGGGCGCAAGCCUGAUGGAGCAACGCCGCGUGUGUGAUGAAGGCUUUCGGUCGUAAAGCACUGUUGUAUGGGAAGAAAUGCUAGAAUAGGGAAUGAUUCUAGUUCGACGGUACCAUACCAGAAAGGGACGGCUAAAUACGUGCCAG
rnacentral:rRNA from 1 species